AUUGGGCUAUUCCAUUUAAUAUCCGUACCCCCCCUGUCGAGGAUACCUGGAAUUCUUCAGGGGUAGGGUGUUUUGAGCUUGGAAUUCUUCAGGGGUGCAGUGUUUUGAGUUUGGAAUUCUUCAGGGGUACAGUGUUUUGAGUUUGGAAUUCUUCAGGGGUACAGUGUUUUGAGUUUGGAAUUCUUCAGGGGUAAAUGAUUUUGAGUUUGGAAUUCUUCAGGGGUAGGGUGUUUUGAGCUUGGAAUUCUUCAGGGGUACAGUGUUUUGAGCUUGGAAUUCUUCAGGGGUACAGUGUUUUGAGUUUGGAAUUCUUAAGGGGUAAAUGAUUUUGAGUUUGGAAUUCUUCAGGGGUAGGGUGUUUUGAGCUUGGAAUUCUUCAGGGGUACAGUGUUUUGAGCUUGGAAUUCUUCAGGGGUACAGUGUUUUGAGCUUGGAAUUCUUCAGGGGUACAGUGUUUUGAGUUUGGAAUUCUUAAGGGGUAAAUGAUUUUGAGUUUGGAAUUCUUCAGGGGUAGGGUGUUUUGAGCUUGGAAUUCUUCAGGGGUAAAGUGUUUUGAGCUUGGAAUUCUUCAGGGGUACAGUGUUUUGAGUUUGGAAUUCUUCAGGGGUAGAGUGUUUUGAGCUUGGAAUUCUUCAGGGGUACAGUGUUUUGAGCUUGGAAUUCUUCAGGGGUACAGUGUUUUGAGCUUGGAAUUCUUCAGGGGUAAAGGUUUUGAGUUUGGAAUUCUUCAGGGGUACAGUGUUUUGAGUUUGGAAUUCUUCAGGGGUACAGUGUUUUGAGCUUGGAAUUCUUUAAGGG
rnacentral:lncRNA from 1 species